UGGUGCUUGCACUGGUGGAUUAGUCGGCGAACGGGUGAGUAACACGUGAGUAACCUGCCCCUGACUUCGGGAUAAGCCCGGGAAACUGGGUCUAAUACCGGAUAUGACUUCCUGCUGCAUGGCAGGGGGUGGAAAGAUUUAUCGGUUGGGGAUGGACUCGCGGCCUAUCAGCUUGUUGGUGAGGUAAUGGCUCACCAAGGCGACGACGGGUAGCCGGCCUGAGAGGGUGACCGGCCACACUGGGACUGAGACACGGCCCAGACUCCUACGGGAGGCAGCAGUGGGGAAUAUUGCACAAUGGGCGAAAGCCUGAUGCAGCGACGCCGCGUGAGGGAUGACGGCCUUCGGGUUGUAAACCUCUUUCAGUAGGGAAGAAGCCCCUUUUUGGGGUGACGGUACUUGCAGAAGAAGCGCCGGCUAACUACGUGCCAGCAGCCGCGGUAAUACGUAGGGCGCAAGCGUUAUCCGGAAUUAUUGGGCGUAAAGAGCUCGUAGGCGGUUUGUCGCGUCUGCCGUGAAAGUCCGAGGCUCAACCUCGGAUCUGCGGUGGGUACGGGCAGACUAGAGUGAUGUAGGGGAGACUGGAAUUCCUGGUGUAGCGGUGAAAUGCGCAGAUAUCAGGAGGAACACCGAUGGCGAAGGCAGGUCUCUGGGCAUUUACUGACGCUGAGGAGCGAAAGCAUGGGGAGCGAACAGGAUUAGAUACCCUGGUAGUCCAUGCCGUAAACGUUGAGCACUAGG
rnacentral:rRNA from 1 species